UAUAGUUUAGGUUUGUUCCAAGACAAAAGGAUGAAAGGCUACAUUUUCCUUGUUGUGACCUUGAUAUUUUUAUUAUCAUUCUCACGAAAAACGGUCGGAACAUUGAUAGUGGACAUUGGUGACGACCAGAGCAUUGAAGAGGCAAACAAGGGUAAAGUCAAACAUCUUCAUAUCAUUCAAUGGACCUGUGUUAAUAUUGCUGUUUUCACGUUCAUACUUAACUGCAGCACCUUUCUUUGUUUAAAAACACAA